rnacentral:rRNA from 1 species
GGGCCCGCACAAGCGGUGGAGUAUGUGGUUUAAUUCGAUGCAACGCGAAGAACCUUACCAGGGUUUGACAUCCUGCGAAUCUCUUGGAAACAGGAGAGUGCCCUCGGGAACGCAGUGACAGGUGGUGCAUGGCUGUCGUCAGCUCGUGUCGUGAGAUGUUGGGUUAAGUCCCGCAACGAGCGCAACCCCCCAUCCUUAGUUGCCAUCGGUUUGGCCGGGCACUCUAGGGAAACUGCCUGUGACAAGCAGGAGGAAGGCGGGGAUGACGUCAAGUCCUCAUGGCCCUUACGGGCUGGGCUACACACGUACUACAAUGGCGGUGACAGCGGGAAGCAAAGGGGCGACCUGGAGCAAAUCCCUCAAAAGCCGUCUCAGUUCGGAUUGUACUCUGCAACUCGAGUGCAUGAAGGUGGAAUCGCUAGUAAUCGUGGAU